ACAGUUCUAUCAAUCCAGCUUCUUCAGGAUGAUGGGGAACAUGCUCCUGAAAUCGUUUGGGUAAGCAAUUGCUGAUUUUAGUCAAAUUCCCUCACUUCACAAAAAAUGAAGUUUCUGAAAAGUAGUACAGCAGGCAAAGAAAAUCUGCAGGAGACAGCAGAAGGAAAAGCAAUUAUUCUGAAUAAUCUACACAUAAAAAAUAUGAUUUUGUUUGAUAUUUACCACCCCCUUCAAUUCUGAGGAGCAAUUACUUCCAAAUGAGGCAUGUAUGCUGAGUUGUUCUUUGACUCAUCUACAAAGGUAUUGAAAAAAGGCCUCGUAUGUCCGCUCUAGAAUUGUACAGUUCUCCCACUAAUGGCAUGAGUUAGUCUAAUACAGAAAUGGAUUAUUAACGAACAACCUAGCCUUACAUUUAAAUUUACCUUUGACAAUUAAUCAUAAUUGGAAAUAAACAUGAUAUUUUGCUCCUUG